rnacentral:rRNA from 1 species
GACGAACGCUGGCGGCGUGCUUAACACAUGCAAGUCGAACGGAAAGGCCCUGCUUUUGUGGGGUGCUCGAGUGGCGAACGGGUGAGUAACACGUGAGUAACCUGCCCUUGACUUUGGGAUAACUUCAGGAAACUGGGGCUAAUACCGGAUAGGAGCUCCUGCUGCAUGGUGGGGGUUGGAAAGUUUCGGCGGUUGGGGAUGGACUCGCGGCUUAUCAGCUUGUUGGUGGGGUAGUGGCUUACCAAGGCUUUGACGGGUAGCCGGCCUGAGAGGGUGACCGGCCACAUUGGGACUGAGAUACGGCCCAGACUCCUACGGGAGGCAGCAGUGGGGAAUAUUGCACAAUGGGCGGAAGCCUGAUGCAGCAACGCCGCGUGCGGGAUGACGGCCUUCGGGUUGUAAACCGCUUUCGCCUGUGACGAAGCGUGAGUGACGGUAAUGGGUAAAGAAGCACCGGCUAACUACGUGCCAGCAGCCGCGGUGAUACGUAGGGUGCGAGCGUUGUCCGGAUUUAUUANGCGUAAAGGGCUCGUAGGUGGUUGAUCGCGUCGGAAGUGUAAUCUUGGGGCUUAACCCUGAGCGUGCUUUCGAUACGGGUUGACUUGAGGAAGGUAGGGGAGAAUGGAGUUCCUGGUGGAGCGGUGGAAUGCGCAGAUAUCAGGAGGAACACCAGUGGCGAAGGCGGUUCUCUGGGCCUUUCCUGACGCUGAGGAGCGAAAGCGUGGGGAGCGAACAGGCUUAGAUACCCUGGUAGUCCACGCUGUAAACGGUGGGUACUAGGUGUGGGGUCCAUUCCACGGGUUCCGUGCCGUAGCUAACGCUUUAAGUACCCCGCCUGGGGAGUACGGCCGCAAGGCUAAAACUCAAAGGAAUUGACGGGGCCCCGCACAAGCGGCGGAGCAUGCGGAUUAAUUCGAUGCAACGCGUAGAACCUUACCUGGGUUUGACAUGGAUCGGGAGCGCUCAGAGAUGGGUGUGCCUCUUUUGGGGUCGGUUCACAGGUGGUGCAUGGCUGUCGUCAGCUCGUGUCGUGAGAUGUUGGGUUAAGUCCCGCAACGAGCGCAACCCUUGUUCACUGUUGCCAGCACGUUAUGGUGGGGACUCAGUGGAGACCGCCGGGGUCAACUCGGAGGAAGGUGGGGAUGACGUCAAGUCAUCAUGCCCCUUAUGUCCAGGGCUUCACGCAUGCUACAAUGGCUGGUACAGAGAGUGGCGAGCCUGUGAGGGUGAGCGAAUCUCGGAAAGCCGGUCUCAGUUCGGAUUGGGGUCUGCAACUCGACCUCAUGAAGUCGGAGUCGCUAGUAAUCGCAGAUCAGCAACGCUGCGGUGAAUACGUUCCCGGG